rnacentral:miRNA from 1 species
CUUAGACUGCCAGGCUCCCUGAGAACAUGCAGUUUCAGGGAGUCUGGCAGUCUAAGUGU